ensembl:lncRNA
UUUUUUUUUUUUUUUUUUUUUUUUUUUUUUUAGUAGAGACGGGGUUUCACCAUGUUGGCCAGGAUGGUCUCGAUCUCUUGUCCUCGUGAUCCGCCAGCCUUGGCCUCCCAAAGUGCUGGGAUUACAGGCGUGAGCCACCACGCUCAGCCGCCUCAUUUCUUAACCAUCUUUGUGGCUCAGUUUAGAGUCGCUCCUCAGGGAAGUUUGCUGAGUUAGGUACCUUCUUUGGAGCAUAGGUAUUUUCUCCAUCCGAGCUAUUGAAAUGGUUUGCCUGUAUCCCUACCUAGAUAGUAAACUCCACUGAAUCAGGAACCAUGUCUGUUCAGUUUCUCCCUAGGGCCUUGUAGUAGGGUAGAUGGUCAGUAAAUACUGUUGAAGGCAUUAAUAUUUAUUUUAAUCCUGGCCCUGGCUAUAAGCCUCAAAAGUUUGCAGUUUUCUGCAUUUAACUUCAAAUUAUUUGAUUGGUAAUGCAUGCAUGUGGUUAGCCUGUGCUGUAAUUUAGAUGUUUGUCCCCCUAAACCUCCUGUUGAAACUUGAUCCCCAAUGUUGGAGGUAGGGACUAAUGGGCAGUGUUGGGUCAUGGAGGUGGUUCCUUCAUGAAUAGAUUAACGUCCUCCCUGGGAAGGGGGUAACUCUUUAUUUCCCUGAGAGCUGGCUAAAAAGAACGUCGCACUUCCCUUCUUUUUCUUCCUCUCUGGCCAUGUAAUCUCUGCACACACCAGCUCUCCUUUGCCUUCUGCUGUGAGUAUAAGCAGUCUUAAGCUCCCAUCAGAUGCAGAUGCUCAGUCUUGAACUUUUCCAGACAUCAGAACCAUAAGCCAAAUAAACCUUUUUUAUUUAUAAAUUAUCCAGCCUUGGGUAUUCCUUUCUAGCAGCACUAAAGGGACUAAGACAACCUGCCAUAUGUAGGAUCACAAGGUCAAGCACAAAUUUAUCUAUCUAUGCUGUACUAUCCUCAGGUUGGCUGAGACAAGUAGACCAUGAAACUUGGCAACAGCUACUCUAUGUCUACAUUCUAUUAUUGGCAUCCAAAGUGAAUAUUGGCGGUGGAUUUUGAGUUUAUUCUAAGGGUUUAAAUAGCUUUGCAUGUUUUAUCAUGACUGGUAUGGACUGAAUUGCAUCCCCCCAAAAAAUUCAUAUGCUGAAGCCCUCACUCCUAAUGUGACUAUAUAAAUGUCCCUCAACUUACAAAGGGGUUAUGUUCCAAUAAACCCACCAUAAAUUGAAAAUACCAUAAGUUGAAAAGAUCGUAAGUCAAAAAUGCAUUUAAUGCUUCUAACCUACCAAACAUCAUAGCUUAGUGUAGCCUACCUAAAACGUGCUCAGAAUACUUACAUUAGCCUUCAGUUAGGCAAAAUCAUCUGACAGAAAGCUUAUUUUUUAAUAAAGUAUUAUUUCAUAUAAUCUACUAAAUAAUGAAAAACUGGAUGAUUUUAUGGGUACUCUUUAAAGUACAGAUUCUAGAGUGCAUAUGGCUUUUGCACCACCAUGAAGUCAAAAAAAUCUUAAGUCAGGGACUAUCUCUAUUUGGGGCUAAGCCUUUAGGGAGGUAAUAAAAAUUAAAUUAGGUCAUAAGAGUGGGGCCCUAAUCCCAUAAGAUUAAUGUCCUUAUAGAAAGUGGCACCAGAGAGCUCUCUCCAUUUGAGAACACAGCAAAACAGACAUCUGCAAGCCAGUGAGAGAGCCCUCACCCAAAACUGACCAUGCCAGCACCCUCUUUUGGACCUCCCAACCUACAGAACUUUGAAAAAAUAAACUUCUGUUGUGUAAGCCACCCAAUCUAGUAUUUUGUUAAUGGCAGCCCAAGCUAAUACAAUGGUUUUAUUUGUUGAUACAUUUUAUAAAGUUUACAGACUGAGAUAUUAAUAUUAU